UACGGAGGGGGCUAGCGUUGUUCGGAAUUACUGGGCGUAAAGGGCGCGCAGGCGGCUGCUCAAGUCAGGCGUGAAAGGCCUGGGCUCAACCCGGGAAUUGCGCUUGAGACUGGGCUGGCUUGAGUGCGGGAGAGGAUGGUGGAAUUCCCAGUGUAGAGGUGAAAUUCGUAGAUAUUCGCAAGAACACCAGUGGCGAAGGCGGCUGACUGGUCCGGUUCUGACGCUGAGGCGCGAAAGCGUGGGGAGCAAACAGG
rnacentral:rRNA from 1 species